GAUCCGUUCUCUCAGGCAUCAAGUUUCUCUUUUUGAGGCUUUUUUGCAGGAAAAGUUUGAGCCAGAACAUGGAGAAGAAGACAUGGCACUCCACCACUUCUGCUACUCCAUUGGAUACAGCUGCGUUCCAUCUCGGAAAAGAAGAAAUCCGACAAGUAUCAUGUUGCAGCACAUACAUCAUAACUGGGAAGCCUAGAGAAGAGGGAGUGGUCCUAAUCGAGGGAUAUGCCUGAGCACAAAUGGUUAUCUCCUAUUCUCCUUCAAAACAAGGACAACAGUUUCAUUAUGCUGCUUGCUGUCAACUAUUUUGCUUCUCUCCUUCAGAGGUUUUGUUUAAGCAAAUGUUGCUUAAUGAUAAAGGUUGGGUGAAGAUAAUUUGGUAUUAUUGUGUGUAAAGGGUGGGUGGCUAAAGAAGAGAUGCAAUCAUGAAAGAGGCAAUGCACUUGAGGGCAUGGAUGAGAGUGGCCCUCAUCACCAGUGUUCCUGUGGUUGAUUGCAAUCAGCUUUGUUGGGGAACCUUCUCAAUGCCUGCUUUCCAAGUGCUAAGGGGAUGUAAAGCUCUGGAGGUGCUAUCUGUUCUCUCUGUUGAGUUUGCUUUGGUAUUCAGAGCUUGUGAUGCUAUAAACUCAUCAAAUAGGAUUUGUACUGAGAUCAUUAUACAAAAGUUUGAUCUGGUCUGAAGUGGGUCAGUAGAGAUCUGUGAGAGAGAUAUCAUGCAGAAUGAAGCUAUCAGCAAGAAGAGGUCUUUAAAGUUGAACAGGAAAGUGGAGAGUAAGUCAAGUUUGAUACAGUUCUGUCAAGAUUAAAACAGGAACUUAUCAGCAAAGCAUCCACACUUGUACAGAAUUCAUUGUGGCAAUGUUUCACAGGAGGAGAUCCCAUGAACAAGACAUGUCUCAGUAGCCAUGCAAGCAGCUGAAAGCUACCACAGUUGAAACCUUUCUCUCAGAGGUGUGAGAAGGUAGGUAGGUAGGUCCACCUUUAUCGAGCUCAAUUCCUUGCUCUAGCUGUUUGACUGACCACAAGAAUGAACUAGAGAAAUGUUGAGUGUCUUAAACUAGAUAAAUGUUGCAUUUGUUACCACUAGAGAGUGGACAUAAUUAUUAUUAUCAUACAAAUAUGCCUAA